GACGAACGCUGGCGGCGCGCCUAACACAUGCAAGUCGAACGAGCGAGAGAGAGCUUGCUUUCUCGAGCGAGUGGCGAACGGGUGAGUAACGCGUGAGGAACCUGCCUCAAAGAGGGGGACAACAGUUGGAAACGACUGCUAAUACCGCAUAAGCCCACGGCUCGGCAUCGAGCAGGGGGAAAAGGAGCAAUCCGCUUUGAGAUGGCCUCGCGUCCGAUUAGCUAGUUGGUGGGGUAACGGCCCACCAAGGCGACGAUCGGUAGCCGGACUGAGAGGUUGAACGGCCACAUUGGGACUGAGACACGGCCCAGACUCCUACGGGAAGCAGCAGUGAGGAAUAUUGCACAAUGGGGGAAACCCUGAUGCAGCGACGCCGCGUGGAGGAAGAAGGUCUUCGGAUUGUAAACUCCUGUUGUUGGGGAAGAUAAUGACGGUACCCAACAAGGAAGUGACGGCUAACUACGUG
rnacentral:rRNA from 1 species